rnacentral:rRNA from 1 species
GUGUCAGCCGCCGCGGUAAGACGAACCGUGCAAACGUUAUUCGGAAUCACUGGGCAUAAAGGGCGCGUAGGCGGCUCCAAAAGUCAGGGGUGAAAUCCGGCAGCUUAACUGUCGCAGUGCCUUUGAUACUGUGGAGCUAGAGGGAGGUAGGGGUCUGUGGAACUUCCGGUGGAGCGGUGAAAUGCGUUGAUAUCGGAAGGAACGCCGGUGGCGAAAGCGACGGACUGGAUCUCUUCUGACGCUGAGGCGCGAAAGCCAGGGGAGCAAACGGGAUUAGAAACCCCUGUAGUCC